UGGCUCAGAUUGAACGCUGGCGGCAGGCCUAACACAUGCAAGUCGAACGGUAACAGGAAGCAGCUUGCUGCUUCGCUGACGAGUGGCGGACGGGUGAGUAAUGUCUGGGAAACUGCCUGAUGGAGGGGGAUAACUACUGGAAACGGUGGCUAAUACCGCAUAACGUCGCAAGACCAAAGAGGGGGACCUUCGGGCCUCUUGCCAUCAGAUGUGCCCAGAUGGGAUUAGCUUGUUGGUGAGGUAACGGCUCACCAAGGCGACGAUCCCUAGCUGGUCUGAGAGGAUGACCAGCCACACUGGAACUGAGACACGGUCCAGACUCCUACGGGAGGCAGCAGUGGGGAAUAUUGCACAAUGGGCGCAAGCCUGAUGCAGCCAUGCCGCGUGUAUGAAGAAGGCCUUCGGGUUGUAAAGUACUUUCAGCGGGGAGAAGGUGUUGUGGUUAAUAACCGCAGCAAUUGACGUUACCCGCAGAAGAAGCACCGGCUAACUCCGUGCCAGCAGCGCGGUAAUACGGAGGGUGCAGCGUUAAUCGGAAUUACUGGGCGUAAAGCGCACGCAGGCGGUCUGUCAAGUCGGAUGUGAAAUCCCCGGGCUCAACCUGGGAACUGCAUUCGAAACUGGCAGGCUUGAGUCUUGUAGAGGGGGGUAGAAUUCCAGGUGUAGCGGUGAAAUGCGUAGAGAUCUGGAGGAAUACCGGUGGCGAAGGCGGCCCCCUGGACAAAGACUGACGCUCAGGUGCGAAAGCGUGGGGAGCAAACAGGAUUAGAUACCCUGGUAGUCCACGCCGUAAACGAUGUUACUUGGAGGUUGUGCCCUUGAGGCGUGGCUUCCGGAGCUAACGCGUUAAGUAGACCGCCUGGGGAGUACGGCCGCAAGGUUAAAACUCAAAUGAAUUGACGGGGGCCCGCACAAGCGGUGGAGCAUGUGGUNUAAUUCGAUGCAACGCGAAGAACCUUACCUGGUCUUGACAUCCACAGAAGAAUCCAGAGAUGGAUUUGUGCCUUCGGGAACUGUGAGACAGGUGCUGCAUGGCUGUCGUCAGCUCGUGUUGUGAAAUGUUGGGUUAAGUCCCGCAACGAGCGCAACCCUUAUCCUUUGUUGCCAGCGAUUAGGUCGGGAACUCAAAGGAGACUGCCAGUGAUAAACUGGAGGAAGGUGGGGAUGACGUCAAGUCAUCAUGGCCCUUACGACCAGGGCUACACACGUGCUACAAUGGCGCAUACAAAGAGAAGCGACCUCGCGAGAGCAAGCGGACCUCAUAAAGUGCGUCGUAGUCCGGAUUGGAGUCUGCAACUCGACUCCAUGAAGUCGGAAUCGCUAGUAAUCGUGGAUCAGAAUGCCACGGUGAAUACGUUCCCGGGCCUUGUACACACCGCCCGUCACACCAUGGGAGUGGGUUGCAAAAGAAGUAGGUAGCUUAACCUUCGGGAGGGCGCUUACCACUUUGUGAUUCAUGACUGGGGUGAAGUCGUA
rnacentral:rRNA from 1 species